ACUCAGUUGAAGAGUCAAAAAUAAAGCGAAACGCGCGUCCUGAAU
rnacentral:hammerhead_ribozyme from 1 species